GAUUAUGGCUCAGAACGAACGCUGGCGGCGCGUCUUAAGCAUGCAAGUCGAACGGCAAGAGGUAGCAAUACCUCCUAGAGUGGCGGACUGGUGAGUAACACGUGGGUGACAUACCCUUCAGAUGGGGAUAGCUAUUAGAAAUAGUAGAUAAUACCGAAUACGAGCACAGGGGUUAGAGAUCUGUGAGGAAAGGAGCUAAGGCUCCGCUGAAGGAAUGGCCUGCGGCCCAUUAGCUAGUUGGUGAGGUAAGAGCCCACCAAGGCGAUGAUGGGUAUCCGGCCUUAGAGGGUGAACGGACACAUUGGGACUGAGAUACGGCCCAGACUCCUACGGGAGGCAGCAGCUAAGAAUAUUCCGCAAUGGACGAAAGUCUGACGGAGCGACGCCGCGUGGAUGAAGAAGGCCGGAAGGUUGUAAAAUCCUUUUGAAACUGAAGAAUAAGCGUUGUAGGGAAUGACAGCGUGGUGACAGUAGGUUUUGAAUAAGCAACGGCUAAUUACGUGCCAGCAGCUGC
rnacentral:rRNA from 1 species